AUGGGGUACCAGUACUGGUCCAUUACUGGUACCAGUUGGUACUGGUCCAGUAGAAGCAGCUAUGGGGCAGCUGUGGGGUGCCGGUACUGGUCCGGUCCCAACUCCGUGACCUCCACCAUCACCAUCCACCCGCCGUCCCACGAGGAUUUCGAAGGUCCCUACCGAAAUUCCAGCAUCCUUUGCCAAGUCCGCGGAUCCCGGCAGCUGCCCGCCGCCGUCCGGUGGCUGAAAAACGGGGUUUUGCUAAAAGACGGAAUCACCACCGAAGGUUCGGUGGCCGACAGCAAAAGGGCUUACAUCACCAACAGCUGGGCAACCGUUACCGAAGCCGAAUGGGAUGCUGGCACCGUCUUCACUUGCCAAGUGGACGAAGACGUGAGGAACACCAGCAAAGCUCUGGAAUGCGGCUAUGACCAUGGCAACAACAACGAAGAGAUCACGGUGCAGGUUGUCCCGCCCGUCUUCGCCGAUAUCUUCAAGGAUAAAGUGGCCAAGUUGACGUGCAAGGUGACCAACCUACCGGGUGUGGAAGGGUUGGUCAUCUCUUGGUGGAAGGAGAACGGCGGGAAGUUGGACAUCAAGAUGUUGCCUCAAGUCUUGCAACCCAACGGGUUCUUCAGCGUCGACGGCGUAGCCACCGUCUACGCCGACGAGUGGGAUAAAGGCGAGAUCUAUACGUGCAAGGUCAGCCACCCCGAGCUCCUCUUCCCCGCCGAAGUCAAGUUGCAGAAGACGCCCAGCCGCAACGCCAAAGCCCCCUCCAUCUACAUCUUCUCCCCUCCGUCCGAACAACUCACCAUGCAGGAAUCCGCCACCAUCACUUGCUUGGUGAAAGGCUUCAACCCUCCGGAUCUUUUCGUCCGUUGGCUCCGCAACGGCGAACCUUUGCCCACCGGCGAUUACAUCACCAUGCCGCCCGUCGCCGAAUCGCAACCGGCCGUCUCUUACUUCACCUACAGUUCCUUGACGGUCAGCGGCGAGGAUUGGCGAGCCGGCAACAUCUUCACUUGCUUGGUCGGUCAUGAGCAAAUCCCUCUGCAGGUGGCGCAGAAAUCGGUGGAUAAAGCUUCGGCCUUCCUCGACGGCUUCACGGAAGCGGAGGAGGACGACCUCAACAACCUCUGGGCGACGGCCUCGACCUUCAUCGUCCUCUUCAUCCUCAGCCUCUUCUACAGUGCCACGGUCACCUUGAUCAAGCACAUCUUGACCUGUUUGGUGACCAACUUCUCCCUCGAUGACAUCACCACCGGCGCCAUGACCCUUGCCACCACGCAGAAGACCAAGAAUGACCUCUACGUGGCCAGCAGCCACGUCACUGUCACCGGUGGUGGCCAAGCUCCACCGUGA